rnacentral:tRNA from 2 species
GCCGGAGUGGCGGAAUAGGUAGACGCACAGGACUUAAAAUCCUGCGAGCUGUAAGGUUCGUGCCGGUUCGAUUCCGGCCUCCGGCACCA